CACAGCUUCGCGCGCGACGCUCUCCGCUGCUAAUAAUACCGCAGUUCCAAACGAUAAAAACAUGGAAUUAUCAUAAGUGCUUUACCAGGAAUGUGUGCUUGUGUGCGGCAUUAAGUUUAUGCAUUCUUGUCGAGUUACCGAAUAUCUCUAAGACACUACGACUGUGUUCGGAGCUGAGAACUCUGCUGGAAGAGUACAUGAUGUCUUUGUAAUCUACCACCGGAUCGGAAACGCGAUCCACUGAGAAACUAAGAAGAUCCGACCAGAAACUCAAUGGGCUAAAGUGUUUUUUUUUUACGUUUCCCGGACUUAUCUACAGGUAUAUCUGUUUGAAAUGUUUUUAUCAUAGCGUUUAAUAUAUAAAGUGCAAAGUGGAGUAAGACUGUCGCUGCGACACCGGAUCCGAGCUAAUGGUGGAUGCGUGUACCGCGCCCUGUGCAACCCGAGCCGACUUUACCGGCUACUUUCCACAUACACGCGGCGAUGUGUUACUGGAUUUCACAUUACUUAGUUUCACUCCUAUCGUACGAUAAGUACAUAAAUAUAUGAAGCUAAUGAAAAAUAUUUUGUUCCCUCAGAUCCAGACAUCUUUCGUCCCAUUGCCGGCGAAUUACUGGUGAUAGGACCUCUUGUGAGUCCGCAAGGGUAGCUACCACCACCCCGCCUAUUUCUGCCGUGAAGCAGUAAUGCGUUUCGGUUUGAAGGGUGGAGCACCCGUUGUAACUAUACUGAGACCUCAGAACUUGUAUCGGACCAGUAACCACUUAACACCAGGGUGGGCUGUGAGCUCGUCCACCUAAUCAUACAAUAAAAAAAAGAAUGUAGAAUCUUACAUUAUUUUUUAAUAGUUGUAGAUCGUGUUGUAAGCUCGCUCGAGUAGUAAGACCGUCUUGUUUAUUUUCGAUGCCAGGAAAUCAUAUGUAAUUUCCAGCUUGAAAGAUUCGACCAUCGCUUUUUCCCCUACUUAUACGCUGAUAGCCUAAGGGGCUAUUCUAGUUACGCGCGGACGGGUAAGUGAGCUCACGGGCUCAAACUGAGAGAAUUUGCUAACACUAGCCCUAGCAAGAGCAGCGCUUCGCAGAAUCUACCACCGGAUCAGAAUUGCGACUCACUGAGAAGAUCCGGCGAGAAACUCAGUGGGUGAGCCAAUCACUCCAAUAUAGACUUCAUUCUCGUGCUUCAAAGUGAACGGCGGUAUUUUCAUUACAAUAUAUUUAAGCUUCUUAAUGAACCGUGAGCUUAUUCAGUCAGUCAAUGUAUAAUUGGCAAUGUUAGAGGUACGUACAGCCAAGACGUCACAUAUCCACAUAAUCAUAAAGUUUGGGAAUUAUUGUCAUAGGUUAUUAUGGUAAUACAUAUUAUGUCCGCUUGUCGAUCAAAAUAUAUGGGGAGGGAAAAGAAGCGAGAUCUUUAUUAUCCUUUGGACGCGAAUACCGAAGACCUGAUGUUAAGUGAUUACAGACACUUGUGAACAUCAGACCGUGCAAAUCAAAAAUAACUCGUUUCGAAACUCGUUUGAAGAAUAUCUAUAACAGCACUGAGAAGAAAUGAUCAGAGCGUAAUUUUGCGUAUCUAAGCGUUAACCUACUCCUAUCUACUCUCAAAAUAUUCCUUCUUUCCCAUAACAAAAGAAAUAAAAUACCGACUUAGAGAAGAAAAAUCUCCGUAGUUCAACGAAGACCAAGAUUAUCCACAUUCCAGCCGACCCGGUCAAUAUAAGUCACUCAGAAGUAAUUUGUACAUAGGAGCUCCGAUCCAACGACCGAAACGCGUACAGAAAGAUUGAAAAGGAAAUCACAAAAAGGUAUCCGAAUUCACGAGUCGAUAUCAUAAGCUAUAGGUAGGUAUACAAAAGAUUCCACAACGAGCAUUAUCAUGUGCAAACGAAACAAUUAAUUGCCCCGAGUCAGCCGAAAUGUCUUCCGACAAACAAAGCUAAUUAGGACGCCCUAAUCACAAGCAAACAGACUCUUGUACUUGGAUAAAGUUCAACCUACAUACGGAUACUUAAUUAAUAAGUAAUAUUGAGCGUAAAUUAGAACCGAUCCAGGCCGUAAAUGUAAUGCCGCUUAGGUAUUACUGGUGGUAGGACCUCUUGUGAGUCCGCGCGGGUGGGUACCACCACCCUGCCUAUUUCUGCAGUGAAGCAGUAAUGCGUUUCGGUUUGAAGGGUGGGGCAGCCGUUGUAACUAUACUUGAGACCUUAGAACUUAUAUCUCAAGGUGGGUGGCGCAUUUACGUCGUAAAUGUCUGUGGGCUCCAGUAACCACUUAACACCAGGUGGGCUGUGAGCUCGUCCACUCAACUAGCAAUAAAAAAAACGGCCUCUAUAGCUACGACUUAAGCAAUAUUCCCUUCACGGUUUUGUCACUUCUGCCACUUCUGCUGUUUAUGCCGGAUGGACCAUUUUCUGGGGGCUGGGCGCAUUGAAUUCGCACAGGUAAGAACCACCUUACGAUCUAUUACUGCGUUUAAAUAGGAAUCGUAUAUGACAGAUAAGCAUUACUAAAUAAGAUUGUAGUGUAUUGUAUAGCCUUUCAGCCGUCGACAUGAUCCACAUGGUGUUAAGUGGCAAUUGAAGCCUAUAGACAUAACUACGGAAUGCCGCCAGCUACGUUGCGAGAUUAGGUCGAAAUAUCAAUCAUGUUUACAAGUACGCUCUACCACUAAUUAAGAUUUUGUAUUCAAGUUUAACAAUAUUUGCUAUGUGUAUGUGCAUUACUUUAAUUCUCAUGUUGUAUUUGUUAUUUUAGUUAUUUGUUCUACACACACUCAUCACUUUUAAUUAUUAUUCUCAUAAUCCUCUCGCAGGUCUGCUGGAAGAGAUUUCUUAAAGAAAUAAGCAGCGCCUUUGUACAUAAUUUUCCUAUUAUUCUGUACUAUGUCAUCUUUUCUGUGUGUACAUAAAUAAAUAAAUAAAUAAUAAAAUAAAAUAUUGAGAUUGUUGGGGUCGGAGGCCCAUUUAAUUCGUGUAAUCGACGGCAAUUGAAGUUCGCUGCUUCAAUGAUCAGUGAUAGAUCUAGGCUUGAUACCGCUCUAAGCCCUAUUUAUCGCGCCCCCUUAAUGAUAGAAUUAUUUUUAUUAAUUAUGAUCCAAUAUUUUUAUAUUAAAUCUAUACAUAUAAAUAAAAUUGGAGUGUCUGUUUGUAAUAUUGAAAUAACCGCUUUUUACUACAUGUAUAUGAAUAUACAUUUUUUUUCCUACCUAAGCUGAUUGAUAGCCUUGAGAGGCUAUUUCAGCGUAGCCUUAUCUAGUAGGUGAGAUCACGGGAUUCAAACCGGAAGUGUUGCUAACACUGGCCCUAGCAAGAGCCGUGCUUCGCAGAAUCUACCACUUGAUCGGAAACGCGACCCACUGAGAAGAUCCGGCGAGAAACUCAGUAGGCUGUGUCUAUGAGUUAAUUUGUUCGUCGAGCCCUUCGUCGCAAGCGAUGGGUUCGACGAGGACGGUGACCAGUGCUUGCGGUACCUAGAAGCACCAUUAAUGGAUCGGGAGCAUCCGUAAUGACGAGUUUUGGGCGACGUCGACAUACCACAGCCGUAAGACGAAACCAACUCAGCGGGAAAAACAAUAGAAUAUAUUUUAUUUAUUACUGAAA